rnacentral:rRNA from 1 species
AGAAUGAACGCUGGCGGCAUGCCUAACACAUGCAAGUCGAACGAAGGCUUCGGCCUUAGUGGCGCACGGGUGCGUAACGCGUGGGAAUCUACCCUUAGGUUCGGAAUAACAGUUGGAAACGACUGCUAAUACCGGAUGAUGACGUAAGUCCAAAGAUUUAUCGCCUAGGGAUGAGCCCGCGUAGGAUUAGCUAGUUGGUGUGGUAAAGGCGCACCAAGGCGACGAUCCUUAGCUGGUCUGAGAGGAUGAUCAGCCACACUGGGACUGAGACACGGCCCAGACUCCUACGGGAGGCAGCAGUGGGGAAUAUUGGACAAUGGGCGAAAGCCUGAUCCAGCAAUGCCGCGUGAGUGAUGAAGGCCUUAGGGUUGUAAAGCUCUUUACCGGGAUGAUAAUGACAGUACCGGAGAAUAAGCUCCGGCUAACUCCGACGCCAGCAGCCGC